rnacentral:rRNA from 1 species
GGGUUGUGAGGUUAAGCGACUAAGCGUACACGGUGGAUGCCCUGGCAGUCAGAGGCGAUGAAGGGCGUGCUAAUCUGCGAUAAGCGCCGGUAAGGUGAUAUGAACCGUUAUAACCGGCGAUACCCGAAUGGGGAAACCCAGUGUGACUCGUCACACUAUCAUUAACUGAAUCCAUAGGUUAAUGAGGCGAACCGGGGGAACUGAAACAUCUAAGUACCCCGAGGAAAAGAAAUCAACCGAGAUUCCCCCAGUAGCGGCGAGCGAACGGGGAGGAGCCCAGAGCCUGAAUCAGCAUGUGUGUUAGUGGAAGCGUCUGGAAAGGCGCGCGAUACAGGGUGACAGCCCCGUACACAAAAGCGCAUGUGCUGUGAGCUCGAUGAGUAGGGCGGGACACGUGGUAUCCUGUCUGAAUAUGGGGGGACCAUCCUCCAAGGCUAAAUACUCCUGACUGACCGAUAGUGAACCAGUACCGUGAGGGAAAGGCGAAAAGAACCCCGGCGAGGGGAGUGAAAAAGAACCUGAAACCGUGUACGUACAAGCAGUGGGAGCACCCUUUGGGGUGUGACUGCGUACCUUUUGUAUAAUGGGUCAGCGACUUAUAUUCUGUAGCAAGGUUAACCGUAUAGGGGAGCCGGAGGGAAACCGAGUCUUAACCGGGCGUUAAGUUGCAGGGUAUAGACCCGAAACCCGGUGAUCUAGCCAUGGGCAGGUUGAAGGUUGGGUAACACUAACUGGAGGACCGAACCGACUAAUGUUGAAAAAUUAGCGGAUGACCUGUGGCUGGGGGUGAAAGGCCAAUCAAACCGGGAGAUAGCUGGUUCUCCCCGAAAGCUAUUUAGGUAGCGCCUCGUGAAUUCAUCUCCGGGGGUAGAGCACUGUUUCGGCUAGGGGGCCAUCCCGGCUUACCAACCCGAUGCAAACUGCGAAUACCGGAGAAUGUUAUCACGGGAGACACACGGCGGGUGCUAACGUCCGUCGUGAAGAGGGAAACAACCCAGACCGCCAGCUAAGGUCCCAAAGUCAUGGUUAAGUGGGAAACGAUGUGGGAAGGCCCAGACAGCCAGGAUGUUGGCUUAGAAGCAGCCAUCAUUUAAAGAAAGCGUAAUAGCUCACUGGUCGAGUCGGCCUGCGCGGAAGAUGUAACGGGGCUAAACCAUGCACCGAAGCUGCGGCAGCGACGCUUAUGCGUUGUUGGGUAGGGGAGCGUUCUGUAAGCCUGUGAAGGUGGCCUGUGAGGGUUGCUGGAGGUAUCAGAAGUGCGAAUGCUGACAUAAGUAACGAUAAAGCGGGUGAAAAGCCCGCUCGCCGGAAGACCAAGGGUUCCUGUCCAACGUUAAUCGGGGCAGGGUGAGUCGACCCCUAAGGCGAGGCCGAAAGGCGUAGUCGAUGGGAAACGGGUUAAUAUUCCCGUACUUGGUGUUACUGCGAAGGGGGGACGGAGAAGGCUAUGUUGGCCGGGCGACGGUUGUCCCGGUUUAAGCGUGUAGGUGUGUGUUCCAGGUAAAUCCGGUUCACUUUAACACUGAGGCGUGAUGACGAGGCACUACGGUGCUGAAGCAACAAAUGCCCUGCUUCCAGGAAAAGCCUCUAAGCAUCAGGUAACAUCAAAUCGUACCCCAAACCGACACAGGUGGUCAGGUAGAGAAUACCAAGGCGCUUGAGAGAACUCGGGUGAAGGAACUAGGCAAAAUGGUGCCGUAACUUCGGGAGAAGGCACGCUGACACGUAGGUGAAGUGAUUUACUCAUGGAGCUGAAGUCAGUCGAAGAUACCAGCUGGCUGCAACUGUUUAUUAAAAACACAGCACUGUGCAAACACGAAAGUGGACGUAUACGGUGUGACGCCUGCCCGGUGCCGGAAGGUUAAUUGAUGGGGUCAGCGCAAGCGAAGCUCCUGAUCGAAGCCCCGGUAAACGGCGGCCGUAACUAUAACGGUCCUAAGGUAGCGAAAUUCCUUGUCGGGUAAGUUCCGACCUGCACGAAUGGCGUAAUGAUGGCCAGGCUGUCUCCACCCGAGACUCAGUGAAAUUGAACUCGCUGUGAAGAUGCAGUGUACCCGCGGCAAGACGGAAAGACCCCGUGAACCUUUACUAUAGCUUGACACUGAACAUUGAGCCUUGAUGUGUAGGAUAGGUGGGAGGCUUUGAAGCGUGGACGCCAGUCUGCGUGGAGCCGACCUUGAAAUACCACCCUUUAAUGUUUGAUGUUCUAACGUGGACCCGUUACCCGGGUUGCGGACAGUGUCUGGUGGGUAGUUUGACUGGGGCGGUCUCCUCCUAAAGAGUAACGGAGGAGCACGAAGGUUGGCUAAUCCUGGUCGGACAUCAGGAGGUUAGUGCAAUGGCAUAAGCCAGCUUGACUGCGAGCGUGACGGCGCGAGCAGGUGCGAAAGCAGGUCAUAGUGAUCCGGUGGUUCUGAAUGGAAGGGCCAUCGCUCAACGGAUAAAAGGUACUCCGGGGAUAACAGGCUGAUACCGCCCAAGAGUUCAUAUCGACGGCGGUGUUUGGCACCUCGAUGUCGGCUCAUCACAUCCUGGGGCUGAAGUAGGUCCCAAGGGUAUGGCUGUUCGCCAUUUAAAGUGGUACGCGAGCUGGGUUUAGAACGUCGUGAGACAGUUCGGUCCCUAUCUGCCGUGGGCGCUGGAGAACUGAGGGGGGCUGCUCCUAGUACGAGAGGACCGGAGUGGACGCAUCACUGGUGUUCGGGUUGUCAUGCCAAUGGCACUGCCCGGUAGCUAAAUGCGGAAGAGAUAAGUGCUGAAAGCAUCUAAGCACGAAACUUGCCCCGAGAUGAGUUCUCCCUGAGACUUAGAGUCUCCUGAAGGAACGUUGAAGACGACGACGUUGAUAGGCCGGGUGUGUAAGCGCAGCGAUGCGUUGAGCUAACCGGUACUAAUGAACCGUGAGGCUUAACCUUACAACGCCGAAG